CUCUUUGGAAAGGCGGUCCCUAAGACUGCAGAAAAUUUCCGAGCUUUGUGCACAGGUUAAUAUUUUGAUUGGUCUUAAAGCAUUGGAUUGGUAGCUAAUUGCAAGAGGUAUAUUG